GUGCCAGCAGCCGCGGUACUACCGGCAGCCCGAGUGAUGGCCGAUCUUAUUGGACCUAAAGCGUCCGUAGCUGGCUGCGCGAGUCCGUCGGGAAAUCCACUCGCCCAACGAGUGGGCGUCCGACGGAAACUGCACAGCUUGGGACCGGAAGGCUCGAAGGGUACGUUCGGGGUAGGAGUGAAAUCCCAUAAUCCCGCACGGACCACCGAUGGCGAAAGCACUUCGAGAAAACGGAUCCGACAGUGAGGGACGAAAGCCAGGGUCUCCAACCGGAUUAGAGACCCGAGUGUCC
rnacentral:rRNA from 1 species